AAGGAAUAUUGGUCAAUGGACGCAAGUCUGAACCAGCCAUGCCGCGUGAAGGAUGGAGGUCCUCUGGAUUGUAAACUUCUUUUAUCUGGGACGAAAACGGGAUUUUUAUCUCAAUUGACGGUACCAGAGGAAUAAGCACCGGCUAACUCCGUGCCAGCAGCCGCGGUAAUACGGCGGGUGCGAGCGUUAUCCGGAUUUACUGGGUUUAAAGGGUGAGUAGGUGGGCUUAUAAGUCAGUGGUGAAAUCUCCGAGCUUAACUUGGAAACUGCCGUUGAUACUAUAGGUCUUGAAUUAUCUGGAGGUAAGCGGAAUAUGUCAUGUAGCGGGGAAAUGCUUAGAUAUGACAUAGAACACCAAUUGCGAAGGCAGCUUACUACAUAUAAAUUGACGCUGAGGCACGAAAGCGUGGGGAUCAAACA
rnacentral:rRNA from 1 species